CAUCUUCUUAAGAGUUGUCUGGCUUUAAGCAAGUAACCUAACAUUUCCUAACUAUGAUUCUCCAUCCAAAAAAAGGCAUGGUAAUAGAUCUUUAAAAUGUUGUGGAAAGGAUUAAAUGAGAUGAAACUUUAAAUAUCACUUCUCACCUUCAAACUCAGAUUCAUUCCACCCUCACUUCCAAGCCUCCUUAACAUGUUGAUUGAUUGAAUGAAUAAAAUGAUCAUAAUAAAAAGCAGAAUAUGAUAAGUGAAAAAAGUAUAAGUGAGAUUGAAAUAUCAAGAGAGAAAAGAGAAAAUAGAAAUGGGAAAAGAAAAUCACCAGUGGAGAAAUAUGCAACAAAUGAACAAACAAAAGAGAAAUAGACUGGUAGAUAAAGGGGGGAAAAAACCCAACUAUUGAUUACUCAAGUGGGGAGGGAUUGGAGGGUGAGCAAAAUAGGUGAAGGGGAUAAAGAGGUACAAAAUUCCAAUUAUAAAAUAAGUCUUGGGGAUAUAAUGUACAGUAUAGGGAAGAUAGCCAAUAUUCUAGUAACUUUGUAUAGUGACUGGUAACUAGAUUUAUCAUGGGAAUCAUUUCAUAAUGUAAAUAAAUAAAGAUGUACUAUGAUGUACACCUGAAACUAAAAGGAUAUUGUAUGUCAGUUAUGCUUUACUUAAAAACUAAUUAUUAAUUUGGAAGAAAAAAAACAAAGCUUCAAAGCUUCUUCUAGACUGCGGAAGGGGAGAUCACUACCCUGUACUGGGAAGAUUGCCCUUCUCACCUGAGCACACAACUUCAAAAGGAACACAUAGGGCACUAAAAGAAAACAGGUCACCAAAUAAAUUUACGAAAUGCUGGUAAUAAGUGGGAGUGACAGAUUAGGCAUGUAAAUUGCCUUUAUACCUUAAUGUAAGUAUAGUUCUCUUAAAGUUUAUUUUGAGAGAGAGCAAGAAUCCCAAGCAGGUUCUGCACUGUCAGUGCAGAGACGGAUGAGGGGCUUGAACCCACGAAAUCAUGACCAAGAGUGGGAUGCUUAACUGACUGAGCCACCCAGGCACCCCAUGUGUCUCUCACUAUAAAUCAAAAGCUAGGAAAUUAAGCUUAGCAAGGAAGGCAUGUGGAAAGCUGAGACAGGCCAAAAGCUAGAUCUGUUGUGCCAAUUAUCCAAGUUGUGAAUUCAAAGGAAAAGUUCUUGAAGGAAAUGAAAAAGUGGUGUGAAUGUAAGAAAGUGAUACAGCCUUAUUGCUAAUAUGGAGAAAGGUUAGUGGUCUGGAUAGAAGAUCAAACCAGCCACAACAUUAUCUUAAGCCAAAGCCUAAUCCAGAGCAAGGCCCUAACUCUCCAAUUCUAUGAAGGCUGAGAAAGGUGAAGAAGUUUCAGAAAAGCUUGAAGCUAGCAGAAGUGGGUUCAUGAGGUUUAAGGAAAGAAGCCAUCUCCAUAAUAAAAGUGCAAGGUGAAGCAGCAAGUUCUGUUGUAGAAGUUGCAAGUUUUCCAGAAGACCUAACUAAGAUAAUUAAUGAAGGUGGCUACACUAAACAAUAGAUUUUCAAUGUGGAUGAAACAUCUAUUGGAAGAAGAUGUCAUCUGGGACUUUUAUAGCUAGAGAGAAGUCAGUGCCUGGCUACAAAGCUUCAAAGGCCAGCCUGACUUUCUUGUUAGAGGCUAAUGCAGCUGGUGACUUUCAGUUGAAGCCAGUGCUCACUGACCUUUUCAAAAGUCCUAGGGCCUUUAAGAAUUAGGCUAAAUCUACUCUGCCUGUGCUUUAUAAAUAAAACAAAGCCUGGAUGAUGGCACAUCUGUUUACAACAUGGUUUACUGAAUAUUUUAAGCCUACUGUUGGGAGCAACUGCUCAAAAAAAAGGAUUCCUAUCAAAAUAGUACAGCUCAUUGAUAAUAUACCCAAGUGCUCUGAUGAAGAUGUACAGUGAGAUUAAUGUUGGUUUCAUGCCUGCUAACACAAGGUACAGCACAUGGGUCAAGAAGUAAUUUCAACUUUCAAGUCUUAUUAUUUAAGAAAUAGAUUUCAUAAGGCUAUAGUUGCCCAGAUAGUAAUUCCUCUGAUGGAUCUGGGCAAAAUAAAUUUAAGAACUUUCAGAAAAGAUUCACCAUUCUAGAUGGCAGUGAGAACAUUUGCAAUUCAUGGGAAGAGGUCAAAAUAUCAUUAACCAGAUGUUGGAAGUUAAUUCCAACCUUCAUGGAUGAAUUUGAGGGGUUUGAGACUUCAGUGGAAGAAGUAACUGCAGAUGUGGUAGAAAUAGCAAGAGAACUAGAAUUAGAAGUGGAGCCUGAAGAUAGGACUGAAUUGCUGCGAUCUCAGCAUAAAACUUUAACCGAGGAGGAAUUGCUUCUUAUGACUGAGCAAAGAAAGUGGUUUCUGGAGAUGGCAUCUACUCCUGGUGAAGAUGCUGUGAAGAUUGUUGAAAUUACAGCAAAGUAUUUAGAAUCUUAUUACAUAAACUUAGUUGAUCAGCAGGAUUUGAGAGGAUGACUCCACUUUAGAAAGAAGUUCUGUGGUCUCUACAGUGAUUCUACUGUGCUAUCAAAUGACUACAGGAAAUUGUUUGUUAAAGGAAGAGCUCAUUGAUGCAGCAAACUUCAUUGUUGUCUUCCCUGUUUGAGGAAAGCAUCCUAAGACCUUGUUUGGAAAAUAAGAACUAUUGAAAAAUGCACUAACCAACCAAUCUGCUUCUAUAGACUGUUUCCAGCCUGCUGUUCUGCUCUAGUGUAGACCCCGAUCUCGAGCUGCAGCCUCCAACUAGCUUUCCAACUUCCAGCCCAGCCAUCCUUGCUUACUGCAGACUGGUGCGAGCCAGUUCUUUCAUCUAUCAUAUUGCUACUAUUUCUCCUGACUAAUGGGGAUUUUGUACAAGUCACUGGUUUUUGUACACUGACUCCUUAGUUUGUCUAAAGUCUGAAAUCAAGGAGAGAUUCUCAUCAGCAACCAAGAACCUCUCCCUUUAGUCCUGAGCAGGUUUUUCUUCCAGUUGCAACCCAAAGUUUUACAUGUCUUCCUGUCCCUAUUGUUUAUUUAUAUUUGUGCCACUAAAUGUUUAAAUGUUGUAUAGACAGAAUUUACCACCCCAUAGAUUCUCUAAUUAUUUAAUACAUUCUAUAAUAGCCUAAGAGCUAUCUGUUUUCCUUUUACAUUUCAAAAAUCUUGACAUAAAGCCAGCAUAUAUUUAGGCUCAAUAUUAAUAGUGAAAUUGAAAUGUGCAUAAUAAAACAUGAAAAUAUAAGAUAAAUUCAUUGUUGUCUUGUUUUAAGAAAUUGCCACAGCCACCCCAACCUCGAGCAGCCACCUCCCUGAUCAGUCAGCAGCCAUCAACAUCAAGGCAAGACCCUCUGCCAGCAAAAAAGAUUAGGGCUCACUGAAACCUCAGAUGAUCGUUAGUACUUUUUAGCAAUAAAGUGCUUUUUUUUUCUUGGUAAUAAAGUAUUUUUAAGUUAA